rnacentral:rRNA from 1 species
UACGGAGGGGGCUAGCGUUGUUCGGAAUUACUGGGCGUAAAGCGCGCGUAGGCGGACCUGCAAGUCGGGGGUGAAAGCCCGAGGCUCAACCUCGGAACUGCCUUCGAUACUGCGGGUCUCGAGUCCGGGAGAGGUGAGUGGAAUUCCGUAGUGUAGAGGUGAAAUUCGUAGAUAUCAGGAAGAACACCAACGGCGAAGGCAGCUCGCUGGGACGG